CUGUACCAAAGUUUCACUCUUUGCGAGUUAAAAACUGCGGUUUAAUUCGGUGCAAACGGCGCCCUGACCUGGUUUGACUGUUGCAUUCUCUCGUAGUUAUACACCAUCUUGGGACUUCCACCCCCACCAGUAAAGACCCAAGCAAGCUCACGGUCAUGUUGCCUUGAUGAGUGUUAUAUGGAUUAGCAAAACAGCAGUGUCAGAGGAACUGUGCUUUGCUGAUGCAAGUGGUUCAAGAGCUAACCCUGUUCUGAAGCAGAGUAAUAGCUCCAUCAUAUAG
rnacentral:lncRNA from 12 species